rnacentral:piRNA from 1 species
UGGAGUCUGGAGUUCACGAAGAGCA